rnacentral:miRNA from 1 species
AUGAAGCGACUUGUGCAAAUGAA